UACGUAGGGAGCAAGCGUUGUCCGGAAUUAUUGGGCGUAAAGCGCGCGUAGGCGGCUACUUAAGUCGGAUGUGAAAGCCCCUGGCUCAACUGGGGAAGUGCACCCGAAACUGAGUGGCUUGAGUGCGAAAGAGGGUCGCGGAAUUCCCGGUGUAGAGGUGAAAUUCGUAGAUAUCGGGAGGAACACCGGUGGCGAAGGCGGCGACCUGGGUCGACACUGACGCUGAGGCGCGAAAGCGUGGGGAGCAAACAGG
rnacentral:rRNA from 1 species